rnacentral:rRNA from 1 species
UACGAAGGGGGCUAGCGUUGUUCGGAUUUACUGGGCGUAAAGCGCACGUAGGCGGCUUUGUAAGUUAGAGGUGAAAGCCCAGGGCUUACCUACCGGAAUUGCCUUUAAGACUGCAUCGCUAGAAUGUGGAGAGGUGAGUGGAAUUCCGAGUGUAGAGGUGAAAUUCGUAGAUAUUCGGAAGAACACCAGUGGCGAAGGCGACUCACUGGACACAGUACUUGACGCUGAGGUGCGAAAGCGUGGGGAGCAAACAGG